CCCGGCGACCGGCGCACGGGUGAGUAACACGUAUGGAACCUGCCCGCAGCAGGGGGAUAAGCGGAAGAAAUUCCGUCUAAUACCGCGUAACACCGCGGAGGGGCAUCCCUCGGCGGUUAAAGAUUCAUCGGCUGCGGAUGGCCAUGCGGCGCAUUAGCUAGUCGGCGGGGUAACGGCCCACCGAGGCGACGAUGCGUAGGGGUUCUGAGAGGAAGGUCCCCCACACUGGUACUGAGACACGGACCAGACUCCUACGGGAGGCAGCAG
rnacentral:rRNA from 1 species